rnacentral:rRNA from 1 species
UACGAAGGGUGCAAGCGUUACUCGGAAUUACUGGGCGUAAAGCGUGCGUAGGCGGUUUGUUAAGUCCGUUGUGAAAGCCCUGGGCUCAACCUGGGAAUUGCAGUGGAUACUGGCGAGCUAGAGUGCGGUAGAGGAUGGUGGAAUUCCCGGUGUAGCGGUGAAAUGCGUAGAGAUCGGGAGGAACACCAGUGGCGAAGGCGGCUACCUGGACCAGCACUGACACUGAGGCACGAAAGCGUGGGGAGCAAACAGG